rnacentral:lncRNA from 1 species
AGAAAAUGUAUGCAUAAAUGUUUUGCACCUGGAAGGCCCUCAGUAAAUGCUGUUCUGCUUUUUUCCUUAAAAGGCUGCUGCUCCUUCAAUUUGGUAUGCUGACAUCCAGUGAAAUUCUUCCUGCUUCUCCAUGCUCUUGAUUUGGAGGCAGGAAAGGACUGUGAGUGUUGCAAUGGAAUGCGUUUGAAGGCAAGGGCCCCACCCCAAUCUCCACUCCUAGCCUCUUUCACUUCCCCUUCCUUGCAAUUACUCUUUAUUGCCAAGAGAGGAUUACGCAGAAGACAGCCUCUCCAUGAAGCAUCUUCCAAGUGGCUGAUACUACGAAGACUCCAUAAAGUCCCACUUACCAGCACAGGAUGGAACAGAUCCUGUGUCAAUACAUCCAGACUUUUGGCUAGA